rnacentral:misc_RNA from 1 species
GAAAGCUCAAAAUAUGGUUUUCUCUUAUUCUUGUAGAGAGUUCUAUUUUUAUCUUGGCAUUGAGUCGAGAAAGAAGCUAGCAAUGAAAAUUUUGUGGUUUCGAAGUGUAAAGAAAAACCAGUUUCAGAAGUGGGGAAAGAGAAUUGCAAGCACUGAGUCUGCGAUUACACUUGGUAAUGCAAAAGGUCGAGUAUCAUUUAGUUGUUGCUGUGGGUCGUAUGUCUUGAUCAGGCAACUUGUAUUAAAGCUCAGGACAAAAUGGAAACAAGCUUUGGGGUGGCACUGGCAAAGGAGCAGUGUUCAAUACAGCUAUGCCUAUGAUAUUUACAGCUAUUCUCUUAACUUUGAUGAUGGUCUCUACCAUGGCCAUCUCCCAUCAAAGGGUUCCCAAUGAAAGUUUGAUCUCCUUUUCAGCAAUAAGUGAUCUGGUUAUUAUCACUUGGUUCACGAGUUCAUUUGUCAUAUAAACAAAAGUUUUCUCAAGAUACUGCAGUGGGUAUUUUCUUAAUCAAUCUGUUGCCCAUUACUUUGAGUCAUAUAUAGUUUCAAUAAUGUUACUUUGCUUUACUGUAAGAGUUUUUGAUGGCUUGUUGUAUAUCAUCUGAUGAGCCAUGUCGUUUUAAUUUCAAGCACUUUGGAGAACAUUCUGUACUUGUUUUCAAUUGUUCUUCAUUCCUUGCUGUUGUUCUUUGUUUAAAGAUUUUGUUUAUAGAAAUGGAUUCCUGAUCCAGUUCUGUAUUUUGUUGCACCAUUUCCUCAUCCUUGGCUGAGCUUAACAAUAGCUAUCCUAUAUAAUAUCACGGUG